GGUUUUUAGACAGUCAUUGCAGGCGAGCCAGCCUGUGGUGUCUACUUCUAGAGUUUCCUCCAUUGCAGAGAAAGAGGUUUUACUUCAACCGAGAGGCUCUGGACAGGUGUGGAAUUUUGGUCACCUUGUUGUACCUGGUUGCUCAGUUAGUUUAAGGCCAAAGAGGUUUCCAAUGAAUCGAAGAACUUGAGGUGGACACCUUCACUGACAGGAACGAAGCAGGAUUGGCAGGAUAGAUUCAGGAGCAUUAAAUUUGGGAGGAAAGGCAUUGAAGAUACUGAAAAAGUUGAAAACUCAGCCAUGUCUGUUCCGUUUUAUGAUGAAAAUCUGUACCUGCUGAACGUGAAAAAUGAUCUUGAAGCUAAGAUCUAUGAUCCUGCAAUUUGGUAUUACCAUCUCUACAUUAUUAACAAGAUUAGUGGUAGCAAUUUAUUCUUACACACUGUUUGCAAAUUCAGCCUUCAUUUAUCACUUUUAUGCUGUGCUAAUCAUGUCUUUUAUUCUGAAAUAUUCAGCUUGGUUUAGGAUUUGUAAUUGCCGAAGCUAUGCUGUCCACUAAUAAUAAUUUGCCAAAGCUAUUCUAUGAGUGUAAAGACUACAUUGUUGCCACCUGUCAAGGCAGAUUCUGGA